rnacentral:rRNA from 1 species
UACAGAGGUCUCAAGCGUUGUUCGGAUUCAUUGGGCGUAAAGGGUGCGUAGGCGGCGCGGUAAGUCGGGUGUGAAAUCUUGGAGCUUAGCUCCGAAACUGCAUUCGAUACUGCCGUGCUUGAGGACUGGAGAGGAGACUGGAAUUUACGGUGUAGCGGUGAAAUGCGUAGAUAUCGUAAGGAAGACCAGUGGCGAAGGCGGGUCUCUGGACAGUUCCUGACGCUGAGGCACGAAGGCCAGGGGAGCAAACGGG